GAUCCUGGCUCAGGAUAAACGCUGGCGGCGCACAUAAGACAUGCAAGUCGAACGGACUUAACCGAAAGUUUACUUUUGGAGCGGUUAGUGGCGGACUGGUGAGUAACACGUAAGCAACCUGCCUAUCAGAGGGGAACAACAGUUAGAAAUGACUGCUAAUACCGCAUAUGCCUAAGUAUCACAUGGUACAAUAGGGAAAGAAGCAAUUCGCUGAUAGAUGGGCUUGCGUCUGAUUAGA
rnacentral:rRNA from 1 species